AUGCAGUCGAGCGAACAGAUAAGGAGCUUGCUCCUUUGACGUUAGCGGCGGACGGGUGAGUAACACGUGGAUAACCUACCUAUAAGACUGGGAUAACUUCGGGAAACCGGAGCUAAUACCGGAUAACAUAUUGAACCGCAUGGUUCAAUAGUGAAAGGCGGCUUUGCUGUCACUUAUAGAUGGAUCCGCGCCGUAUUAGCUAGUUGGUAAGGUAACGGCUUACCAAGGCAACGAUACGUAGCCGACCUGAGAGGGUGAUCGGCCACACUGGAACUGAGACACGGUCCAGACUCCUACGGGAGGCAGCAGUAGGGAAUCUUCCGCAAUGGGCGAAAGCCUGACGGAGCAACGCCGCGUGAGUGAUGAAGGUCUUCGGAUCGUAAAACUCUGUUAUCAGGGAAGAACAAAUGUGUAAGUAACUGUGCACAUCUUGACGGUACCUGAUCAGAAAGCCACGGCUAACUACGUGCCAGCAGCCGCGGUAAUACGUAGGUGGCAAGCGUUAUCCGGAAUUAUUGGGCGUAAAGCGCGCGUAGGCGGUUUUUUAAGUCUGAUGUGAAAGCCACGGCUCAACCGUGGAGGGUCAUUGGAAACUGGAAAACUUGAGUGCAGAAGAGGAAAGUGGAAUUCCAUGUGUAGCGGUGAAAUGCGCAGAGAUAUGGAGGAACACCAGUGGCGAAGGCGACUUUCUGGUCUGUAACUGACGCUGAUGUGCGAAAGCGUGGGGAUCAAACAGGAUUAGAUACCCUGGUAGUCCACGCCGUAAACGAUGAGUGCUAAGUGUUAGGGGGUUUCCGCCCCUUAGUGCUGCAGCUAACGCAUUAAGCACUCCGCCUGGGGAGUACGACCGCAAGGUUGAAACUCAAAGGAAUUGACGGGGACCCGCACAAGCGGUGGAGCAUGUGGUUUAAUUCGAAGCAACGCGAAGAACCUUACCAAAUCUUGACAUCCUUUGACCGCUCUAGAGAUAGAGUCUUCCCCUUCGGGGGACAAAGUGACAGGUGGUGCAUGGUUGUCGUCAGCUCGUGUCGUGAGAUGUUGGGUUAAGUCCCGCAACGAGCGCAACCCUUAAGCUUAGUUGCCAUCAUU
rnacentral:rRNA from 1 species